rnacentral:rRNA from 1 species
CCCUUAGAUGUUCUGGGCUGCACGCGCGCUACACUGAUACCUUCAGCGAGUCCACCACCUUGCCUGGGAGGGUGGGGUAACCUCUGGAAAGUGCAUCGUGAUGGGGAUCGAUUAUUGUAAUUAUUAAUCUUCAACGAGGAAUUCCUAGUAAGCAUGUGUCAUCAGCCCGUGCUGAUUACGUCCCUGCCCUUUGUACACACCGCCCGUCGCUACUACCGAUUGGGAAAAUUUUAGAGAGUCCUGGACUGAUGAUUGUUCGGCUUCACGGCCUUACUUUCGUCGGGAAAGAAUUCGAUAAUAUUUUUCUAGAGGAAGUAAAAGGCGUAACA